rnacentral:lncRNA from 1 species
CACAUGCUCGGAGAAUCUGAAUGCCUCUACAGGUACACCUUCCUCCCUUAUAAGCUGCUCACUGCUACAGCCUUUUAAUCCCCAAUCGAUGGACUCUUUCUUCCUGCCGUUCAAUUUUUUCAUGUACAAGAAUCGAAGGUGGUUGGAUUUAAUAGGAGGAAGCGAACUGGUACUGGAAUUCCUAGACAUGUGUUUCUGAGGGAGGCAGGGCAAAUAAUCUAGAUUAGGGGGUUAAUUGAUGAUAUUCUGUCAACGUCCCCUUCCUGAGGUAGAUAUAAGUUCCUUUUGGAAUAGGUUCUGAAUGUGCCCGCUCUUCCGUGAAAAAAAACACUCCUUAAUAACUGAAUAAUAUUUGUGCUUCGAAUUUUAAGGGGCUCCUAUUAAUUUGUAUCUAUUCUUUUCUUUUCCCUUGAAUUUAUAGCUUAUUGCAUACUCUUUUGUUACAAACAGGUUACAGGUAAUUGGAUGGUGUUCUGGGAGUUAGAAAACGAAAUAGGUGGAAUGAUUGAUGCUACAAACAUAUAUAUUGGCACUAUAAUGUUCUUCUUACCAGCUGAAGCUAAAUAAAAGUAGUCUUACUUUGCUGGUAACUGCUAUCAACUGAAGCUUAUUCUGCAUGAUUUAUGAGCAUGGGCAACAUUGAUCUCUCUAUAUAUAACUCCUGAACUUUUGUCCAUAUUUAGUUUACAGGCAAAGCUUUACCGCCCUAUCACUUUUCCUGGAUAAAUAAUGCGCUCUAUACUUCCAUAUUUAGUUUACAAGAAAAGCUUUACAACCAUUGGUUUUGUUGCUUUUGUACAUUCUUCAUUAUCUUUACCCAGAUUGCAGAUUUGCACUGAAUUAGCAAAAGUAAAAAAAAUGCAGGCAAAGUGCUCUUACGAUUGUUUAUUUGGUCAGUACCAGAUGUUUUGAUGAGUUAUAUCAUUGCCUUUUAUUUUGAAUGACAAACGUAAUUAAUGAUUCAUGCAUGAUGUACAUACAUGCUUUACUACCCAGUUCUGAUGCAAUAGUGACAAAGCUUUUUGAUCCAUCGCUCUCUCAAGUAGUGACCAUCAGGAUUAUACAGAUCACAAUAGGCAUGCCUCUUUUAUCAUUCCAUCACUAUAUCAGGUAUAUCUUUCCCUCUAAAGGGUUACAAAUGUUUUGACCUACACAUCUUAAGUUUAUGCUGGAAAUAUAUCUUCCAAUGCUACACUGUAGUUAAAGUUGAAAAUCGAGGAUCUAUUUUAGUAUUUAACACCAUCUCAAAUCAUGAGAACCUUAAGAUUGUGCUUAGUAAAUUGCAUUUUCAAUGACGGUGUUUAUUUGGUAGUUAUCUCCAUAACACAUUUUGGCUUAUUUUUUCGCAUAUUAUUUUGCCAUGCCAAGAACUAUAGAACUCAUGCAGAGAUGUUUGUAAACGUACUGCAUUUGGUGUCUGCUUUCUCAUCAUAAAAAAAGAAGAGGCUAAGGUAUCCUUUUUGGUGGCACAAAUUUGGUUCAUGUCAAUAAGAAAAAACUUCGCACCUCAAUUUAACUUUUGCAAUAUAUCAUUUUUGUGACCUCCAGUUUCUUACGUUUUUGUAUGCAACUUGCAAUUGUUCCUCCAUUAUAUAAUUCCUUAUAAACAUCUUUUCAUCAGUCACAAACCAUUACGUGUUGUUCACCGGUGUUUAAUGUAGGUCGUAUGUAAUCCCUUCCAACACUUGAUCAGGCUAACUGUGUUUAUUUUCCACACAAAAAGGCUAGCUAUGUACAUGUCGAUCUACAUUUAUUAGGUUGAUUUAUUAUAUAAUAAACCUAUACCUGACAACCAACACACUUUUUUUUCCAGCUAUAUAGGUUAAGGAGAUGUAUUUGGCCACCUUGCCUGGAUGUUUUUCUGCAAAUAUGUUAUGUAGUACAUACACUCUAUGAUUGUCUCCUUUUUUUGUUAUCUCCCAUACUUCCUAGGGAUUUAGUAUGUUGUAUAUAUAUUGAACAAGGGCACUGAUGAAUUGACUUGAUGAGUUUUGUUUUAGACAUAUGGCAUUCCAAACCAUUUUCAGAUUUUCUGUUAACUAUGCUAUGAUGAUUACCAAUUCUGUAAAUGAUUUUCAUUGCCUGAUGACCAUUCAUAUCCAUCCAGCCCAGCUUUGGCCAUUUCUCACGGAAAGGAAGUUACGGGCUGGCAUGGCCCAGUUAAAAUCAAGGGGUGGGGUCAGCUAAAAUCAAGGAGGGGUGAAUUCAUGGUGGAGAGGAUGACACAUCUCCCUGUGAAAUCAGUCCGUAGCACACUUUCCGUAAGUGUAGGAUUUUUGUUAAUACUGCUAUUUUGUUUUGGUCCAAGGUUGAGCUUUGGGGAGUAAACACAAGUAUUGUAAUUUUUUGAUUGGGGACCUUCAGUGUGGUAUCUCUGCUUUCAUUACUUCUCGGUUAAUCCUUCAUAAGCCCUUUUAGCUUUAAUGAUUAAAAUAUGUAGCUUAUGUGCCUUUCCUUUCAGUGGUACUCUAUGAAUAAUCUCUUCCCGUGGAUUUAAACUCCAAGUUAGCCAUUAACACAUGGUUCUAGAAAUAUGGAGUGUUUGGUCGACCAAUUCAAUGAUUUUGGUGUUAUAUUGUAAUGCAUGUUUUACUCUAAUACGUGCAAUACUCAUUCUUAUGUCCGUCGUGCAUUGUACAUCUUGGCAAGCAAAGUAUUUUUUUUGGAUGAUCUCCUUCAAAAC